UACAGAGGGUGCGAGCGUUAAUCGGAAUUACUGGGCGUAAAGCGCACGUAGGCGGCUUGGUAUGUCGGGUGUGAAAUCCCCGGGCUCAACCUGGGAACUGCAUCCGAAACUGCCUUGCUCGAGUAUGGGAGAGGGAAGUGGAAUUUCCGGUGUGGCGGUGAAAUGCGUAGAUAUCGGAAGGAACAUCAGUGGCGAAGGCGACUUCCUGGACCAAUACUGACGCUCAGGUGCGAAAGCGUGGGGAGCAAACAGG
rnacentral:rRNA from 1 species